AUUUGGUAACAAGUUAAUUUAAAUUAUUGCAAUCUUUGUGUUUCUUCUAGGUUAAUACAUUUGAGAAGAAAGCACUAUAAGAUGAAUUUUAAAAAAUCUGUCCCCCUGUGUUCAUAAGCAUGUUUGUGUGAUGAUAGUGAAGGUGCAUGUGAAGACCAGGACUGAGUGCAACCUGGCUGAGUUAGGACCAAUCCUGAGAGUGGCUUUGCCUCACAGCUCCUUGCCUGUUCUGCUAAUCUGGUUGGAGAGGUAUAUCAAUAUGAAUUAUAUGAGGAAAGAGACUUUUGGAAAACUGUCUAUCUUUUUUUCUAAUUGAAGUUAUUCUUAAAGUUAAAAGGUAAAUACCUGUGUGAAAAAAAAUACUAACACAUAGAUGAAGUGACCUACCUCAGUGGCCUUUAUAUGGACACCUUUCAUCUUAUGGAGGUUUAUGGACAGCUUUGCUUCCUCUUCCCAAUGGAACAUUGUGCGUGAUAUUUCUAACCCCACCCAUCAUCUGAGAAAUUCUCUUGUAUCAUCAAAUGUUUCGAUGUUAUCUAAAUGCAAAGGAUUUCUCAAAAUUAUGCAUAUUAAAUAGCACUGAAAUUC
rnacentral:lncRNA from 1 species